AAAAAUACUAACACAAGAAAAUUUUAAAAAUAUUUUAUAAAGCUACAAAAUUAGCAUCAUCUAGGUGGCAUCAUUUAGCAUCGUCAUAUGGAUCCCACUCGGCAAUCAAUUCCACUUCAUCCUCAUGUUAAAUAUUACUUAAUAAUUUUUUCAUGUUUUUUAACUUCUGACAUUUUUUUUAUUAUUUUUUUCAACAUUUGGUUAGUUCAGCGAUCAACUCAUACCAGAUACGCAAUGCAAUACACUAGAAACUUGCUACCUUGUAAUCAAAAAUAAGGAUCCACUUAUACACCUGGAUAUACAGUAAAUAAAAACAUCUUAAAAUCUAAAUUU